CAGAAUUUUUGCCCUUAUAGGUCAGUUUUUUUAAUGUUUGAUUUGUCGGUUAUACGACUAAUAAUAAUAGGGAAUAAACACGGCUAAUACGCUCAGGUUGAUCGUUUGCAACUCAUGGUUUUAGAUUCUGAGUGUAGCAAAAAAUGUAUUAGUAUUACCAAGAUGUUUACUUGUUUUUUUAUUUAUUUAUCCUGUGAACAAAAAUUCUAACAGAAAUCUUGCUCUGACGCAUACAAUGUAGACCCUUUUCUG